rnacentral:lncRNA from 1 species
UCUCCUUUAUAAUAUAUAUCAUAAACAUUUUAAAAGGUUUAUUUUAAGAAGUUCAACAUCAAAAUUUUACAUUUCAGACGGCAAGGGUUUCACGUCCUCUCUGAUGAUUGAAUUUCAGGUAAGCAUCUUUUCUAGCUUUUUCUCCUUUCUUCUUCUACUUAUCCAUCGUCCUUAGGUGUUUCUUUUCUUUCAUCAUCUACUUUCUUCAUCCUAAUUUCAAAUGUAAUAGGUGAUUUUGAUCAAAGACAAUCCAGAAGAAAUUGAUUGCAACACUAGAUGCAUCUGUUAGUGUCUGAUUUAUAAAUAUAGUAUAUAUAAAUGUAGUUAGUACUCUCACAUAUGCAAAUAGUAUGACAUUCACAAAACAUGUAGAGAAACACAUUUAGCAGCUAUACUAUGUUCGAUAUAAUGGUAUUUAUAUGUAAUUUAAUCAUUUAUAUUAAUCGAUUUUAGAUUAAGAAUAAGACUACACAUUGGGCCCGUGCACGAAUUUUCGCUUAUUUUACAAAAGUCAUUCCAAGUACAUGCAUUACUUCUAUUGAUCCACCAUGUUCACCCACUAACUUCUCAAAGUUGCAAAGAUAUUUUUAGAUUAUGACAUUUCCCUUAAAAUGUUCAUUAGGAAUCUGUAAAGCUUGCUUAAUGUUGAAUAAUAGAAGAUAUGGCUUUUUCUAUCUUGUCUUGAUAUAGAAGUUUACUGUAAGCAGUGAUGUGACAAUAUUGACAAAUUUCCAUGUGAAUGAACAAAUAAAGAAGAUCUCAUUUAGAAGUAUGCGUCGGAAUGCUUUCCGGUAUCCUUGACAUAGACAAACAAAUCAUGUUGUUCUCAUUACCUUUAUUCAAUUGUGUCUCUUCAUCAGUUUUGCAGGUUAGAGUAUCUUCUUCUUCAUUUUCAGCCACUACACCAAAACAGAGUGUCUAUAACAUUUCACGUUUUUUUAUUUACAUGACGCUUGAUAUUAGAUAUAUUACUGAAAUGCUUCAUAAAUUGCAGAUAUGCAUAUUUCAUAUCUGGUGUCUUCCAGUCUUAAGUUGUCCAAUAAUCAUUUGUUUAUGUAGGAGUACAAUGUACAAUUAUUAAAUAUACGUACUUUCUAAGGACACGCUAUUUUCCCAUGAUAGAACAAAGUAUAUUUUGUUGCAGUGCAGUUGUAACUUAUAACCAUCUAAUCAUGUGAUUGCUUCAGAAGUUUUGACUGAUAGACUAUGGUGCUUAGACUCUCUUAAAAUGUUGUCGGGUUCGGAUCCUUUAAAAGUAGUGUAUUUUUGUAGGUAUAACUUUUGAAGUACUACUGAUAAAUUUAAUCAGGCUAAUAGUUUUGUUGUUUCAGGUUUGGAUGAUGGAUGAUAGACAUAAGUGAUAAAUCUAUUCAUUUUUCUAGGGGCAAAAUGUAGAUAAACACAUUGUUUGUGCACCUUUUUUUUGUGUGAAUUUCAAAGUUAAUUUUCACUUAGAUGUAUACAAAUGAUGGUGAUGGGGCUACUGGUUCUUACCUAUGAAGUAUGCUCAUGAAGCUAUGGCUGCAAUAAAUUUUAUGGGAAGGGUUGGG